AGUUUAGUAGAUGAGGCAGUGAUUUCAAUAGCUAACAGUUCUCAGGUCAUGCUGACAGAGUAGUUUUGAGAAGCAUUGGCUUACCUUGUUUGGCUUAUAGCAUCUGCUUUCUCUUCUUCUUCAGACCUGAAGGUACCUGUUUCUGAGCCUAAUGGUUUGGAAUUUCUUUGUAUUUUUAUCUUCUGGAUCAGUGGAAAGCUAAGCAAGAGGUGUGUACUAAUCCCCUCCUCAGGGAGUCAACGUUAAGUCCACCAUGCUUCUCAGUUUGGCUGAAUUUAUGCUCCGGUUCUGAAGGGCUGAAGUUCUGCAAGGCUGCUUGCUAGAUAAGUGACCACAGCAGGCACAGUUCCAAGGAGCAAGAAUUUUCUAGAAUGACAAAAGACAGUUAUAAAGGAGGAACUGAGAAGUAUUUACUAUGCUUUACACAGGUCUUGGCAUACCAUCAUCUACUAGGAGUCACUAUAAAUGGACUGUUUGAAAAAUCACAGAGGUUUAAAAGACAAACAAG